rnacentral:rRNA from 1 species
GAUGAACGCUGGCGGCGUGCCUAAUACAUGCAAGUAGAACGCUGAAGGAAGGAGCUUGCUCUUUCCGGAUGAGUUGCGAACGGGUGAGUAACGCGUAGGUAACCUGCCUGGUAGCGAGGGAUAACUAUUGGAAACGAUAGCUAAUACCGCAUAACAGUAGAUGUUGCAUGAUAUCUACUUAAAAGGUGCAAUUGCACCACUACCAGAUGGACCUGCGUUGUAUUAGCUAGUUGGUGAGGUAACGGCUCACCAAGGCGACGAUACAUAGCCGACCUGAGCGGGUGAUAGGCCACACUGGGACGGAGACACGGCCCAGACUACUACGGGAGGCAGCAGUAGGGAAUCUUCGGCAAUGGACGGAAGUAUGACCGAGCAACGCCGCGUGAGUGAAGAAGGUGUUCGGAUCGUAAAGAUCUGUUGUAAGAGAAGAACGAGUGUGAGAGUGGAAAGUUCACACUGUGACGGUAUCUUACCAGAAAGGGACGGCUAACUACGUG